GAAAAACCGAGCUCGCGCCCCACCUUCGAGAACGCGCAGAAGGCGGGGAGGCUUUCUUUGGUCUGGGGAUAGUGAGGCUGCGUUCUCUUUGAGGGGUGUUAGGGCAGAUGGGGCAGAAGUUUCUUUAGAUAGUGGCCGGCCAGGUCUCUCUCAGUUGAGGGACAAGAUAGCCCUCAUUCCUUCCAUUUGAGGGGUGAGUCCCUGUGGUUUCCUCAUUUAGGGAAAGCAGUGAGAGGGGGUCCCUUCAAUUUGGAGCAAGAAGUGAGAAUAAAUUCCACCCAGUUUGAAGGAAGAGGUGGGAUCAGUUCCCUUUAGUUGUGGGAGGAAGAGGGAAGGAUGCCCUUCAGUUUUCUGGGAAAAGAUUGGGAGGAGUCAGUUUGAGGGGGCAGAUAGAACACGUUCCCCUCAGUUUUGGAGAAAAAGUGGGAUGGGUGCCCCUCAGCCUGAAUGAAAAGUGGAGACGGUCCUCCUCUGUUUGGGGCGCUAUGAGCCGAAUGCCCCUCAGAUUUGGAAAAAGUUGGGUGCAUCUCGCCUAGUUUGAAGGGAAUCAGUAGGCUGGGUUUUCCAUAGGUUCCUGUCAGCUUCAUCAAAGAGAUGAGACAGUUCUCUGUAGUGUGACUGAAAGGGAGGGCCAGGUGCCCCUUGGUUUGGGAGAUGAAGAACAGCCUCCCUCUUCGCCUGGCACGAGCUGGGCCAGUCUGGGCCUUAGGGUUUCUGGGACGUUGGGGGCAGCGUUGUCCGUCACUGCUUUGGGGAGCGUCCAGUGCGCGUGCGCAGCUCAGGUCCGGGUGGGGGCCGGCAGGGGGUCCUGGGCUUGGCAACGUGGGCGGAGGGCGGCCAAGCACGGUCCCCUGCGUUUUGCACCCGGCCGCGCCUUGGUCCCAGGGGGGUGCUGCUCGCCGCACAGCAGCGCUG
rnacentral:lncRNA from 1 species